AGUGAACGCUGGCGGUAGGCCUAACACAUGCAAGUCGAACGGCAGCACAGUAAGAGCUUGCUCUUACGGGUGGCGAGUGGCGGACGGGUGAGGAAUAAAUCGGAAUCUACUUUUUCGUGGGGGAUAACGUAGGGAAACUUACGCUAAUACCGCAUACGACCUACGGGUGAAAGCAGGGGAUCUUCGGACCUUGCGCGAUUGAAUGAGCCGAUGUCGGAUUAGCUAGUUGGCGGGGUAAAGGCCCACCAAGGCGACGAUCCGUAGCUGGUCUGAGAGGAUGAUCAGCCACACUGGAACUGAGACACGGUCCAGACUCCUACGGGAGGCAGCAGUGGGGAAUAUUGGACAAUGGGCGCAAGCCUGAUCCAGCCAUACCGCGUGGGUGAAGAAGGCCUUCGGGUUGUAAAGCCCUUUUGUUGGGAAAGAAAAGCAGCAGGUUAAUACCCCGCUGUUCUGACGGUACCCAAAGAUUAAGCACCGGCUAACUUCGUG
rnacentral:rRNA from 1 species